GAGUAUUUAAAGAGGUAGUUCUAUAGUAAUAGGUGUUGUCUCUGCGUUGCCAGGGUGACGUGUGGAUCUGCAUGGAGCUGAUGGACACGUCUCUGGAUAAGUUCUACAAGCAGGUGAUAGAUAAAGGCAUGACCAUCCCUGAAGACAUCCUGGCGAAGAUACUGUAGCGAUCGUCAAGGCUUUGGAGCAUCUGCAUAACAAACUUUCAGUGAUACACCGAGAUGUGAAACCGUCCAACGUGCUGAUCAACACACAGGGCCAGGUGAAGAUGGUGGACUUUGGCAUCAGCGGCCACCUGGGGA